CGCAUUUCUCCUCUUACUCUUGGGAACGCCCUACUCUGUCUAUAGAGUAGCUGUACUUUCACCACUUGACUUUCUUAAUAAACUUACUUUUGCUUUGCACUGCUGACUCGCCCUGAAUUCUUUCUUCUUGAGAUCCAAGAACCCUCUCUUGGGGUCUGGAUCAGGAUCCCUUUCCUGUAAUAUCUUUCUGGCAACCACUGAAGGGACUACAGUGAGGAAAUCCUUGACCCAAAGGCUAACUUUAGAAUCUCUCUCUGCUGCCCAGGCUGGAGUGCAGUGGGAUGAUCUCGGCUCAUUGAAACCUCCACCUCCAGGUUCAAGCGAUACUCCUGCCUCAGGCUCCCGAGUAGCUGGGACUACAAGUGUGCACCACGAUGCCCAGAUGGAGUCUUGCUCUGUCGCCCAGGCUGGAAAGCAAUGGCGCUAUCUUGGCUCACUGCAACCUCCGUCUCCUGGGUUCAAUUGAUUCCUCUGCCUCAGCCUCCCAAAUAGCUGGAAUUACAGGACACUCAGAAAAAAAAUGAAAUUAUGAGAAUUGUUUUCUCAAAUCCUUUUCUACUGCAACCUUCCCACCAUUACGAGCAUAAUGAAACUCAAAUGUGAGUCCAAGGAAUUAUUAUCUUCAUUUUUCUACUGAGGAGAACUAUCAAGACUUCUAAUCACAUGGAAUAACUCAUUCAGGAAAUGAGGCUGGGUUGCUGAUGAUGGAAUGAGGGAGUUGGAGGGAUUAGAAAUGACGUAUCCAGAAUAGACAAUGGAAUCGGUGACAGACUUCCACUAGUGGCAGCAACCUGUGCCUCACUCCUGCACAAAUCCAAAAGGGUUUUUGAGGCAUUUGAUGGCAUGUGCCUGUGAAACAAGUAGAUAUUCUGUCUUGGGAGCUUGAGAAAAGGCCAGUAGCACUGUUCUAGUAGCCUAAAGGCAAACACACAUUUAAAUAGUGGUGGGGUUAGUAGGCAUGGGAUGAUGAGUAAUGAGCAGCUCAGAAAUGGUCACUUUAAAGAUCAAAGGUCAUAUGCCCACAUUUUCUGAAAUCAUGCCAUUUGGAAUCAUCUUACAUCCCUAAGAAUAAAAAUGUUCCUACCAAAAUCAUUUAGAAGAAGUUUUCUCUGACAACUCACCCUGUUAAAGGUCAACAUGAGAUUUUAUCAUUUACAAAAAUAAAAACACAAUGUCCUCUGACUAUGAUUCUAAAUUAAUGCAAAUCCAGUACACAGGUGAACAGGUCAUUAUAAUACAGUGCGAGGAGUGCUAUGAGUCGCGACCCUGUGAGAUUAUACAGGAGUGUCAUUCAACCUUGUUCUUAAACAAUGGCAGGUAUCAGGUGCCAAUUUUUGAAAAUAAAUGUAUGCGUCUGUUCCAAAAUAGGGAAAAAUGAGUGCAAUUAUAUAGUGAAUUUUCAUAAAGCUAAGUGUACUAAAUUUAGAUGAGUUAUUCUGUGUUUAUGUCCUUCCUACUGUUUUAAAAUUAAAACAUUUCUUACUUUAUAGAAUUUGGGUAGCAUUCAUAUUGAGUCUUUUUUUUUGAAAAAGAAAAAACUCUUUCAAAUGAAAAUAAAUCAAUAUUAUUAUGCAUAAAUGUUCCAAAAAGACCCCUUGCAUCUUAUCUUUAUAAAAGGAAGCCAUGAAAGAAGCUUUAUUUUACUAAAAAAAAAACUGCAUGAGUGACAUGGAUUUAUAACAGUUACGUGAUUUGAAUAUUUAAUGUAUUGGGCUAAGAUAGGCGGAAAUGUCCAUUCCUGUCAGUAUUAACAUUUUACAGAUGUCACUGGUACUAAGGUUUUUCUGUUGUUGAAUCAGCAAACCUCAUCCCAUGGAUAAUGUUUAUAUAAGCACUGACAAGUUAUCACACUGUAAUUCUCAAAUCUAUAUAUCAUUUCUUUGGCUAACUAAACUUACCUUUUCUUUUGAUUGAAAUAUUUGUUCCUUAAAAUGUUAAUGUUGUAUGAUUAAAUCUU
rnacentral:lncRNA from 1 species